GUCAGAAAGAUGUGGAAGAACACAGAGGACAAAUCUUGAUGUACAUCUGGGUGGCGGACCCAAUUUCAUGUGCUGUAUCCAAGGCCAUGCCAUCCUUCCCCUCUUCACCAAAAUGGAUCAGAAGUAUUUGAGCUCCUGUCCUAGGAGAAAACAGCAUGUCACCAAAAUAGCAGUUCUCCUGUUUUGGCAGCAAGCAGACUUUCCCAUCAAAGAGAAGAAGGGUGGGGAAAGAGCAUGA
rnacentral:lncRNA from 1 species